ACGGGAGGCAGCAGUGGGGGAUAUUGCACAAUGGGGGGAACCCUGAUGCAGCAACGCCGCGUGAGGGAAGAAGGUUUUCGGAUUGUAAACCUCUGUCUUUGGUGACGAUAAUGACGGUAGCCAAGGAGGAAGCUCCGGCUAACUACGUGCCAGCAGCCGCGGUAAUACGUAGGGAGCAAGCGUUGUCCGGAAUUACUGGGUGUAAAGGGUGCGUAGGCGGGAUUUCAAGUCAGGUGUGAAAUCCAUCGGCUCAACCGGUGAACUGCACUUGAAACUGAGAUUCUUGAGUGAAGUAGAGGCAAGCGGAAUUCCGAGUGUAGCGGUGAAAUGCGUAGAUAUUCGGAGGAACACCAGUGGCGAAGGCGGCUUGCUGGGCUUUAACUGACGCUGAGGCACGAAAGCGUGGGGAGCAAACAGGAUUAGAUACCCUGGUA
rnacentral:rRNA from 3 species